UACGGGGGGGGCAAGCGUUGUUCGGAAUUACUGGGCGUAAAGGGCUCGUAGGCGGCCAACUAAGUCGGAUGUGAAAUCCCCAGGCUCAACCUGGGAACUGCAUCCGAUACUGGAUGGCUUGAAUUCGGGAGAGGGAUGCAGAAUUCCAGGUGUAGCGGUGAAAUGCGUAGAUAUCGAGAGGAACACCUGCGGCGAAGGCGGGUUGCUGGGCCGACACUGACGCUGAUGCGCGAAAGCCAGGGGAGCGAACGGG
rnacentral:rRNA from 1 species